rnacentral:rRNA from 1 species
AAAAGUUUAAUCGUUUUAACGAGAAACCGCGAACGGCUCAUUACAAUGGCCAUGAUUUACUUGAUCUUGAUUAUCUAAAUGGAUAACUGUGGAAAAGCUAGAGCUAAUACAUGCACCARAGCUUUGUCCUCUCGGAAAAGCGCAUUUAUUAGAACAAAACCACGCGGCUUCGGCUGCUUCUUGUUGACUCAGAAUAACUAAGCUGACCGCAUGGCCUUGUGCCGGCGGCGUGUCUUUCAAGCGUCCACUUUAUCAACUUGACGGGAGCAUAAUCGACUCCCGUGGUGGUGACGGAUAACGGAGGAUCAGGGUUCGACUCCGGAGAAGGGGCCUGAGAAAUGGCCACUACGUCUAAGGAUGGCAGCAGGCGCGCAAAUUACCCACUCUCGGCUCGAGGAGGUAGUGACGAGAAAUAACGAGACUGUUCUCUUUGAGGCCGGUCAUCGGAAUGGGUACAAUUUAAACCCUUUAACGAGUAUCAAGCAGAGGGCAAGUCUGGUGCCAGCAGCCGCGGUAAUUCCAGCUCUGCUAAUACAUAGAAUUAUUGCUGCGGUUAAAAAGCUCGUAGUUGGAUUCGUAUCGGUACCUUGGAACCCUUCGGGUGUUUCUGGGUGUUAUCGAUUUAUCGUAAUGUUCGGUUUUGAGUCCUUAACAGGAUUUUUAACAGUCAUUGCAAGUUUACUUUGAACAAAUCAGAGUGCUUCAAACAGGCGUUUUCGCUUGAAUGAUCGUGCAUGGAAUAAUAGAAAACGAUUUCGGUUCAGUUUUAUUGGUUUUACGGACUGAGAUAAUGGUUAACAGAGACAAACGGGGGCAUUUGUAUGGCCCCGUGAGAGGUGAAAUUCUUGGACCGUGGCCRGACAAACUACAGCGAAAGCAUUUGCCAAGAAUGUCUUCAUUAAUCAAGAACGAAAGUCAGAGGUUCGAAGGCGAUCAGAUACCGCCCUAGUUCUGACCGUAAACGAUGCCAACUAGCGAUCCGCUGAUGGAAAUUAUAUUGCCUUGGUGGGGAGCUUCCCGGAAACGAAAGUCUUCCGGUUCCGGGGGAAGUAUGGUUGCAAAGCUGAAACUUAAAGGAAUUGACGGAAGGGCACCACCAGGAGUGGAGCCUGCGGCUUAAUUUGACUCAACACGGGGAAACUCACCCGGCCCGGACACUGUGAGGAUUGACAGAUUGAUAGCUUUUUCAUGAUUCAGUGGAUGGUGGUGCAUGGCCGUUCUUAGUUCGUGGAGUGAUUUGUCUGGUUUAUUCCGAUAACGAGCGAGACUCUAACCUACUAAAUAGUUGGUACAUACUCUUUGUGUAUACAGCUUCUUAGAGGGAUUUGCGGCGUUCAGCCGAAAGAAAUUGAGCAAUAACAGGUCUGUGAUGCCCUUAGAUGUCCGGGGCUGCACGCGCGCUACACUGGCAAAAUCAACGUGCUUGUCCUACCCUGAAAGGGGCGGGUAAACCAUUGAAAAUUUGCCGUGAUUGGGAUCGGAAAUUGCAAUUAUUUUCCGUGAACGAGGAAUUCCAAGUAAGUGCGAGUCAUCAGCUCGCGUUGAUUACGUCCCUGCCCUUUGUACACACCGCCCGUCGCUGCCCGGGACUGAGCCAUUUCGAGAAAUUUGGGGACCGUUGAUUUAAUUUAUUUU